rnacentral:lncRNA from 1 species
GAAGAGAAUGUUGGGUGAAAGUUUGAGUGGUUAAAGUCUCUCAUUGCCCAUGAGUGGGUGGAAUGUUGGAUUAAUAAGAGAGAUGAUCCAUUUACCUAACACCUUAAUAUUUGAGAGAACUCAUUUACCUAACAUAUUAAGGUUUUAGGUUUAGAUGUGGCAUCGGGAGUUAGAUUCAGUGUUUGAUCCGAUUAUAGGAUGUAGGGGACUCACACUAGUGGGAGAGAAUGUUUGGUGCAAAUGUGAGUGAUUAAAACCCCGCAUUAUCUAUGAAUGGGUAGAAUGUUUGAUUUAUAAGAGAGAGAGAGAGAGAGAGAGAGAGAGA